AAUGUCAGUGCCCGCCCCUGCUUACAGGCUGGGGCCAUCUGUAGGCCUGGGCAGGAGGGGUUUGGGGAGACAUGGCCUGCUGUCUGGGAAAAUAUUGAUAACAUGUUCGCAGGAUGAGGCAUUUCUGACCCUUGUUGUGGUGGAACGUGGUGUUCCUUGUACUUUCUCCCAGCAGAAUAUGAUAAGAGGCAGGCUAUUUCUCAUGGCCUGAAUCCCUGUGGAAUAUUUCACUUUAAGCAAGGUCUGUGAAAUGGCGGGGGACUUACAAAAUGGUGCAGAUUGGACUUUCUUGCCUUCUACUUUAAUAUAAAAGAAAGAGGGGCGUUGUUGAUUAUCUGGCUGUUUCCUGUCGAAUUACGGGCACUGUAACCAGGGUUUGGAUUUUGAAGUAGUGGGUGUUCGACUUUAGAGUUGUUUUCCUGGAAGCGCUGAUACUGGACUUAGUGGAGGAGAACGAUGGUAUCAAUGUGUUUCUGGAUGACUGCCUGGACAAGGGAGUUCAGCUUUUGGGAGAUUGACUGGGCUAUGAAGGAUGGUAGAGGACAGUCUUCAGCCUGAGACCCAUCCCUAGUUAUAUCUUCUGGAGAGAUUCCUAGAAGUGGGAUUACUGGCUCAAAAGUGUACCUUUCUACUCUGCAGAGGCUGGAAAGGCAAAAAUGAUGGCUAAGGCUUCCUUGCAGUGGCCGUGCCAUUUUGAAUUUCCACUGGCAUUGAAUGGGAGUCCCUGUUCCACAUCCUUGGCAGCAUUUGUGGUGUUAACGUUUUGGAUUUUAGCCAUCCUCGUAGCCGCUGAUACAGAAGCCUGAGGGAACACACUCCCCCUACGUCCUUCUCCAACACAGCAGAGCCAGGAAGGACCCGGAUGGAAGUUAGGACAAAGAGGCCCAGAAUUGGCACAGAUACCAACAGACCAUUCGUUGAAGAAGAAAUCCAAAUGGCCAUAAGAACCCCAGAGAUGAAAGGCCUCCUCCCACUGGCUUGGUUCCUGGCUUGUAGUGUGCCUACUGUGCAAGGAGGCUUGCUGGACCUAAAAUCAAUGAUCGAGAAGGUGACAGGGAAGAACGCCCUGACAAACUACGGCUUCUACGGCUGUUACUGCGGCUGGGGCGGCCGAGGAACCCCCAAGGAUGGCACCGAUUGGUGCUGUUGGGCGCAUGACCACUGCUAUGGGCGGCUGGAGGAGAAGGGCUGCAACAUUCGCACACAGUCCUACAAAUACAGAUUCGCGUGGGGCGUGGUCACCUGCGAGCCCGGGCCCUUCUGCCAUGUGAAGCUCUGUGCCUGUGACCGGAAGCUCGUCUACUGCCUCAAGAGAAACCUACGGAGCUACAACCCACAGUACCAAUACUUUCCCAACAUCCUCUGCUCCUAGGCCUCCCCAGCGAGCUCCUCCCAGACCAAGACUUUUGUUCUGUUUUUCUACAACACAGAGUACUGACUCUGCCUGGUUCCUGAGAGAGGCUCCUAAGUCACAGACCUCAGUCUUUCUUGAAGCUUGGCGGACCCCCAGGGCCACACUGUACCCUCCAGCGAGUCCCAGGAGAGUGACUCUGGUCAUAGGACUUGGUAGGGUCCCAGGGUCCCUAGGCCUCCACUUCUGAGGGCAGCCCCUCUGGUGCCAAGAGCUCUCCUCCAACUCAGGGUUGGCUGUGUCUCUUUUCUUCUCUGAAGACAGCGUCCUGGCUCCAGUUGGAACACUUUCCUGAGAUGCACUUACUUCUCAGCUUCUGCGAUCAGAUUAUCAUCACCACCACCCUCCAGAGAAUUUUUACGCAAGAAGAGCCAAAUUGACUCUUUAAAUCUGGUGUAUGGGUAUUAAAUAAAAUUCAUUCUCAAGGCUAAUAAAAACCACAUUGGCAUUUUCCUCUGC
rnacentral:sRNA from 1 species